rnacentral:misc_RNA from 1 species
GCAACUUGGGGUGGAGGUGCAUCGUAAUCCGAUGGCAGAAGUGUGGCGGCACGCUAUUGGCUGGUUGAAUUUCCCUUGCGGCUGUCUGAGUCAGUGUCCGUUCUCCAGGUGAGGAACUUAUUUUACACGUCAGCAAUGCUUUGACAGGGAUAGCAAAAAGAAGCGAUACAAGUCAGCAUUAUUUGAUUAGAUGCUGAAGUGUUCUCUCGCGGACCAUGUAUAUUUUAAUUUCAAU